GCAUGCAUUUAGGUUUACGGCAAGCCCAGCCCCCGGGGCCUCUCACCGUGUCCCAUGCUGGAGCAAACUGGCCCCGCACCAUUGCCUGGCCUCUGCCCGUAGACUGCAGGCACUGAAGCCAGUUGCACAGUG